AUGACUUUGCCAGCUGCCACCCUGGACUCAGGCCUCUCCACCACUGUCAGCCAGGUAACUGCCAUGGGUGCCUGGGCUAAGCAGAUGUUUACCUGCCACGUGGUGCAUGCUCCAACCACAACCCACACCAACAAGACUUUCCGAGCAUGCAGGGCUACCUUCACGCCGCCCACAGUAAGGCUCCUCCACUCCUCCUGCGACCCUCGGGAGAAAGCGACUUAUGCCAUCCAGCUCCUGUGCCUCAUCUCUGGCUACACCCCAGGACACAUUGAGGUCACCUGGCUGGUGGACGGACAGAAAGCCUCCAACUUGUUCUCCUCCAUGGCACCACCCAAGCAGGAAGGCAAGUUGGCAUCCACCUACAGCGAGCUCAAUGUCACCCAAGGCGAAUGGGCAUCACAGCACACCUACACCUGUAGGGUCGCCUACCAAGGCGAGCUCUUUGAGGCCCAUGCCCGGGAGUGCACAGCUUACGAACCCCGCGGCGUGAGCACCUACCUGAGCUCCCCUAGCCCCCUCGACCUGUACGUCCGCAAGUCACCCAAGCUCACCUGUCUGGUGGUGGACUUGGCCAGCGAGGAGGGCGUGAGCCUGGUCUGGUCCCGGGAAAGCGGGGAGCCUGUGAACCCCGACCCCUGGAAGGCCAAGAAGCAGUUCAAUGCCACGGUCAGCAUCACGUCCACCCUGCCAGUGGAUGCCCAGGACUGGAUAGAAGGCGAGACCUACACGUGCACCGUGACACAUCCCCACCUGCCGACGGCCAUCGUGCGGUCCAUUUCCAAGGGCUUGGGUGGGCGUGCUCCCCCCGAGGUACACCUGUUCAUGCCACCCGAAGAGCAGCAAGAGAACAAGGACCUGCUCACUCUCACCUGUCUGAUCCAGAACUUUUUCCCGGAGGACAUCUCAGUGCAGUGGCUUCUCAACGGGCAGCCAGUGCCCAGUAGCCAGUUCAGAACCACUGAGCCCCUCCUGACCAGCAGCUUCAACAAAACCUACUUCAUCUUCAGCCGCCUGGAGGUCAGCCGGACCGACUGGCAGCAGGGGAACGAGUUCACAUGCCAGGUGGUGCAUGAGGCACUGCCCGGCACCAGGAUCCUGGAGCGAACCGUGUCCAGGCAGCCCGAGCUGGACCUCCAGAACCUGUGUACAGAGGGGCCCGAGAGCGAGGAGCUGGACGGGCUAUGGACCAGCACCUGUGUCUUUGCCACCCUUUUUCUGCUAAGCACCAGCUGCAUUGCCAGCGUCCUGCUCAUCAAGGUGAAAUGGGUCUUGGCUGCAGUGAUGCCGGAAUUGCCUGCCGCCUCCCAUGACUACUCCAACAUCCUCCAUCUGGGGGCCUAA